CGGCGUGCCUAACACAUGCAAGUCGAGCGAUCUUCUUCGGAAGAGAGCGGCGGACGGGUGAGUAACGCGUGGGUAACCUGCCCUGUACACACGGAUAACAUACCGAAAGGUAUGCUAAUACGGGAUAAUAUAUGAGAGUUGCAUAACUUUCAUAUCAAAGCUUUUGCGGUACAGGAUGGACCCGCGUCUGAUUAGCUAGUUGGUAAGGUAACGGCUUACCAAGGCUACGAUCAGUAGCCGACCUGAGAGGGUGAUCGGCCACACUGGAACUGAGACACGGUCCAGACUCCUACGGGAGGCAGCAGUGGGGAAUAUUGCACAAUGGGCGAAAGCCUGAUGCAGCAACGCCGCGUGAGCGAUGAAGGCCUUCGGGUCGUAAAGCUCUGUCCUCAAGGAAGAUAAUGACGGUACUUGAGGAGGAAGCCCCGGCUAACUACGUGCCAGCAGCCGCGGUAAUACGUAGGGGGCUAGCGUUAUCCGGAAUUACUGGGCGUAAAGGGUGCGUAGGUGGUUUUUUAAGUCAGAAGUGAAAGGCUACGGCUCAACCGUAGUAAGCUUUUGAAACUAAAGAACUUGAGUGCAGGAGAGGAGAGUAGAAUUCCUAGUGUAGCGGUGAAAUGCGUAGAUAUUAGGAGGAAUACCAGUAGCGAAGGCGGCUCUCUGGACUGUAACUGACACUGAGGCACGAAAGCGUGGGGAGCAAACAGGAUUAGAUACCCUGGUAGUCCACACCGUAAACGUUGGGCACUAGGUGUA
rnacentral:rRNA from 1 species